CCUACGGGUGGCUGCAGUGGGGAAUAUUGCACAAUGGGCGCAAGCCUGAUGCAGCCAUGCCGCGUGUGUGAAGAAGGCCUUCGGGUUGUAAAGCACUUUCAGCGGGGAGGAAGGCGGUGAGGUUAAUAACCUCAUCGAUUGACGUUACCCGCAGAAGAAGCACCGGCUAACUCCGUGCCAGCAGCCGCGAUAAUACGGAGGGUGCAAGCGUUAAUCGGAAUUACUGGGCGUAAAGCGCACGCAGGCGGUCUGUCAAGUCGGAUGUGAAAUCCCCGGGCUCAACCUGGGAACUGCAUUCGAAACUGGCAGGCUAGAGUCUUGUAGAGGGGGGUAGAAUUCCAGGUGUAGCGGUGAAAUGCGUAGGGAUCUGGAGGAAUACCGGUGGCGAAGGCGGCCCCCCGGACAAAGACUGACGCUCAGGUGCGAAAGCGUGGGGAGCAAACAGGAUUAGAUACCCGGGUAGUC
rnacentral:rRNA from 1 species